GCCGGGUUUCCGCGCAAUCGAAGGUUUCCAACCGUGUCAGGUCCGAAAGGAAGCAGCACUCCGAUACCGCCGAUG
rnacentral:SRP_RNA from 1 species